UACAGAGGUCUCAAGCGUUGUUCGGAUUCAUUGGGCGUAAAGAGCGUGUAGGCGGCCUGGUAGGUCAGCUGUGAAAACUCGAGGCUCAACCUCGAGACGCCGGUUGAAACCAUCAGGCUAGAGUCCGGAAGAGGAGAGUGGAAUUCCCGGUGUAGCGGUGAAAUGCGCAGAUAUCGGGAAGAACACCCGUGGCUAAGGCGGCUCUCUAGUACGGUACUGACGCUGAGACGCGAAAGCGUGGGGAGCGAACAGG
rnacentral:rRNA from 1 species